AGUGAACGCUGGCGGUAGGCCUAACACAUGCAAGUCGAACGGCAGCACAGUAAGAGCUUGCUCUUACGGGUGGCGAGUGGCGGACGGGUGAGGAAUACAUCGGAAUCUACUUUUUCGUGGGGGAUAACGUAGGGAAACUUACGCUAAUACCGCAUACGACCUACGGGUGAAAGCAGGGGAUCUUCGGACCUUGCGCGAUUGAAUGAGCCGAUGUCGGAUUAGCUAGUUGGCGGGGUAAAGGCCCACCAAGGCGACGAUCCGUAGCUGGUCUGAGAGGAUGACCAGCCCAAGUGGAACAGGAACCGGACCAAGCCUCCAAGGGAGGACAGCGGGGGGAAAUAUGGGAGAAGGGGGGCAAGCCUAAUCACGCAAUCCGGGGGGGGGAAAGAAGGCCUUCGGUUUGUAAGCCCUUUUUGUGGGAAAAAAAAAGCAGCAGGUUAAUACCCCGGUGUUCGAAGGAUCCCCAAAAAAUAGGCACCGGCAAACUUGGUC
rnacentral:rRNA from 1 species